rnacentral:rRNA from 1 species
CCUACGGGAGGCAGCAGUGAGGAAUAUUGGUCAAUGGGCGCGAGUCUGAACCAGCCAAGUAGCGUGAAGGAUGACUGCCCUACGGGUUGUAAACUUCUUUUAUAAAGGAAUAAAGUGAGUCACGUGUGCCUUAUUGCAUGUACUGUAUGAAUAAGGACCGGCUAACUCCGUGCCAGCAGCCGCGGUAAUACGGAGGAUCCGGGCGUUAUCCGGAUUUAUUGGGUUUAAAGGGAGCGUAGAUGGGUCUUUAAGUCAGUUGUGAAAUUCUGCGGCUCAACCGUAAAAUUGCAAUUGAUACUGGCAGCCUUGAGUACAGUUGAGGUAGGCGGAAUUCGUGGUGUAGCGGUGAAAUGCUUAGAUAUCACGAAGAACUCCGAUUGCGAAGGCAGCCUACUAAACUGUCACUGACAUUGAUGCUCGAAAGUGUGGGUAUCAAACAGGAUUAGAUACCCUAGUAGUC